rnacentral:rRNA from 1 species
CCUACGGGUGGCAGCAGUGAGGAAUAUUGGUCAAUGGGCGAGAGCCUGAACCAGCCAAGUCGCGUGAGGGAGUACUGCCCUAUGGGUUGUAAACCUCUUUUGUCGGGGAGCAAAAGCCGGACGUGUCCGGCUGUGAGAGUACCCGAAGAAAAAGCAUCGGCUAACUCCGUUCCAGCAGCCGCGGUAAUACGGAGGAUGCGAGCGUUAUCCGGAUUUAUUGGGUUUAAAGGGUGCGCAGGCGGAUUUUUAAGUCAGCGGUAAAAUCGUGGGGCUCAACCCCAUCCAGCCGGUGAAACUGGGGAUCUAGAGUGUGCGAGAGGUAUGCGGAAUGCGUGGUGUAGCGGUGAAAUGCAUAGAUAUCACGCAGAACCCCGAUUGCGAAGGCAGCAUACCGGUGCACAACUGACGCUCAGGCACGAAAGCGUGGGUAUCGAACAGGAUUAGAUACCCCUGUAGUC